rnacentral:rRNA from 1 species
GACAGAGGGGGCAAGCGUUGCUCGGAAUUACUGGGCGUAAAGGGCGCGUAGGCGGGAUGGCAAGUCGGGCGUGAAAUCCCUCGGCUCAACCGAGGAACGUCGAUCGAUACUGCUGUUCUUGAGGAUUGCAGAGGAGACUGGAAUUCCCGGUGUAGCGGUGAAAUGUGUAGAGAUCGGGAGGAACACCGGUGGCGAAGGCGGGUCUCUGGGCAAUUCCUGACGCUGAGGCGCGAAAGCGUGGGGAGCAAACGGG